rnacentral:misc_RNA from 1 species
AAGUCGUAACAAGGUCUCCGUUGGUGAACCAGCGGAGGGAUCAUUACAGAGUUGCAAAACUCCCAACCCUUUGUGAACGAACCCACUAGUUGCUUCGGCGGCAGAUUCCUCUGAGGCUUAGCCUUUACGGGUACCCCGCCGGAGUCUUACAAACUCUUGAUUUUUUGGCAUCUCUGAGUAGCUUAUAAAUAAGUUAAAA